rnacentral:rRNA from 1 species
UACGUAGGGGGCAAGCGUUGUCCGGAUUUAUUGGGCGUAAAGAGCGUGUAGGCGGCUUUGCAAGUCCGUUGUGAAAACUCGAGGCUCAACCUCGAGACGCCGGUGGAAACUGCAAAGCUAGAGUCCGGAAGAGGAGAGUGGAAUUCCUGGUGUAGCGGUGAAAUGCGCAGAUAUCAGGAAGAACACCCGUGGCGAAGGCGGCUCUCUGGGACGGUACUGACGCUGAGACGCGAAAGCGUGGAGAGCGAACAGG